UACGUAGGGGGCAAGCGUUGUCCGGAAUCAUUGGGCGUAAAGCGCGCGUAGGUGGCCACAUAAGUCCGUUGUGAAAGUCAAAGGCUCAACCUUUGAAAGCCGAUGGAUACUGUGUGGCUAGAGUACGGAAGAGGCGAGUGGAAUUCCUGGUGUAGCGGUGGAAUGCGCAGAUAUCAGGAGGAACACCAUAGCGAAGGCAGCUCGCUGGGACGUUACUGACACUGAGGCGCGAAAGCGUGGGGAGCGAACAGG
rnacentral:rRNA from 1 species